rnacentral:rRNA from 1 species
GGCCCGCACAAGCAGCGGAGCGUGUUGCUUAAUUCGAUGAUACGCGAGGAACCUUACCAGGGCUUAAAUGCAGAGCGAAUAGUUUGGAAACAGGCUAGCCUUCGGGCGAUCUGCAAGGUGCUGCAUGGCUGUCGUCAGCUCGUGCCGUGAGGUGUUGGGUUAAGUCCCGCAACGAGCGCAACCCCCUAUCUUUAGUUGCCAGCGAGUAAUGUCGGGGACUCUAAAGAAACUGCCUACGCAAGUAGAGAGGAAGGCGGGGACGACGUCAAGUCAUCACGGCCCUUACGUCCUGGGCCACACACGUGCUACAAUGGUCGGUACAGAGGGCAGCUACCGGGUGACCGGAUGCGAAUCUCUAAAGCCGAUCUCAGUUCGGAUUGGAGUCUGCAACUCGACUCUAUGAAGCUGGAAUC